rnacentral:lncRNA from 1 species
AAGAGGAGACGGUGUUCGAAGAGGAAAAUGAAAUCAAGGCUAUGAAAGAGGAAGAAGAGGUUGACGGUGAAGAUGAAAGUGAAGUAGAAGGUGGCGAACCGGAAGAGGAAGACGACGAUGACGACGACGAGGAUGAGGAUGAUGAAGGCGAAGAUGACGACGACGACGACGACGACGAAGGAGAGGAGGAUGACGAUGUGCAGGUUCUUCACUCAUCCGGUCCUCCUGUCCUGAUAGCUGAUGACGACGAGGGCGAGGAUGUUAAAGACGAUGAUGACGACGAUGAAGGCGAAGGCGACGGCGACGGCGAUGACGACGACGACGAUGAUGACAGUGAUGACGAUGAAGAAGGUGAAGAAGAGG